UACGAAGGGUGCAAGCGUUACUCGGAAUUACUGGGCGUAAAGCGUGCGUAGGUGGUUUGUUAAGUCUGUUGUGAAGCCCCGGGCUCAACCUGGGAAUGGCAAUGGAUACUGGCAAGCUAGAGUCCGGAAGAGGCGAGUGGAAUUCCUGGUGUAGCGGUGGAAUGCGCAGAUAUCAGGAGGAACACCAAUAGCGAAGGCAGCUCGCUGGGACGGUACUGACGCUGAGGCGCGAAAGCGUGGGGAGCGAACAGG
rnacentral:rRNA from 1 species